rnacentral:rRNA from 1 species
GGGGUAAGGGGGCGGGCCUACACAUGCAGUCGUACCAAGGUAACGCAAGCAGCUUGCUGCUUUGCUGACGAGUGGCGGACCGUUGAGUAAUGUCUGGGAAACUGCCCGAUGGAGGGGGAUAACUACUGGAAACGGUAGCUAAUACCGCAUAAUGUCGCAAGACCAAAGAGGGGGACCUUCGGGCCUCUUGCCAUCGGAUGUGCCCAGAUGGGAUUAGCUAGUUGGUGAGGUAACGGCUCACCAAGGCGACGAUCCCUAGCUGGUCUGAGAGGAUGACCAGCCACACUGGAACUGAGACACGGUCCAGACUCCUACGGGAGGCAGCAGUGGGGAAUAUUGCACAAUGGGCGCAAGCCUGAUGCAGCCAUGCCGCGUGUAUGAAGAAGGCCUUCGGGUUGUAAAGUACUUUCAGCGGGGAGGAAGGGGUUAAGGUUAAUAACCUUAGCCAUUGACGUUACCCGCAGAAGAAGCACCGGCUAGCUCCGUGCCAGCACCCGCGGUAAUACGGAGGGUGCAAGCGUUAAUCGGAAUUACUGGGCGUAAAGCGCACGCAGGCGGUCUGUCAAGUCGGAUGUGAAAUCCCCGGGCUCAACCUGGGAAACUGCAUUCGAAACUGGCAGGCUUGAGUCUCGUAGAGGGGGGUAGAAUUCCAGGGUGUAGCGGUGAAAUGCGUAGAGAUCUGGAGGAAUACCGGUGGCGAAGGCGGCCCCCUGGACCGAAAACUG